CACUGGCUGACGAGUCCCACAAUAGGACGAAAUACUUGUCAUAGUG
rnacentral:hammerhead_ribozyme from 1 species